rnacentral:pre_miRNA from 1 species
UAUAAUAUUUUGACUCUUCGUCUUAUUUAAAAAAUUUUUAUGAUUAAUAUUUUUAUUCUUACUAGAUGAUAAAACAUGAAUAAUAUUUUAUGCGUGACUAAUUUUUUUAAAUUUUUGUAUAAAUUUUUUAAAUAAAAUAAAUGGUCAAACGUUGGACAUGAAAAAAC